CACUCAGAUCAAGUAAGCUGUCAUAUGGAUGAAUGUCGCAGGUUGGAAUGAUCCGGAGUAGAACUGUCGGUGUCGUUCCCAUCGUCGUAGGCAUUUUCGGUGGAUUUUGUAGGUCGAUCAACAAUGGUUGCGUGAGUUUUAGCUGUCAAGCUGCUAUGCCGUGCUAGCCGAUUCUUGCGAUCUGGGAUACAAGGGAUGGACGUAUCCUGUGGAAUGAUCGUGUCAGCGAAGGUUUGAAUGUCGCUUAGGACUGGAAAGGAGGGAGUACGGAAACUGUAAUCAGUAUUCAGGAUCUCGCUGUACAUGGGCAAUGUUUAGUUUAGGUGUAUUAAAGUGGUAAUUGUUCGAAGUUAUUUGAAAAGAAUUCUGUUUCAGUGUUUAAGCGCUAAAACUGUUUGUUUUUUGUAAGCAAACGUAUGAUUUAUUGAUCUUCAUUUUUUACUUUAUAACGCUAACGCUAUACAAAUGAUUUUGUUACCAAAUUUAAGUGCGUAUAUAAACAAUAAAUUAAUACUAAAAUAUUUCGAUGAAGACACCAAUGAUGUUUAUUGAUACAUUUUUCUCCUAAGUGCUACUUUCUCAACUUAAAGCAAUAAGUUAUGCAGUAAUUAUACUUCUACGAGUAUAUUUAAACAAAUCAUCAUUCAAAAGCAUUUUACCCAAUACUUAACUUACAUUAAGUAAAAUUUAUCUUUGUCAUUUUAGUCACUUAUUUUUUUAUCAUUCACUAAGCAGUAAGCAAAAUAUAUUUACUAAAAUAAUAAAAAAAAAUACGAUAUUCAUGGUAAGUUGGAUUAGCUAUUUUAUAACACAAACGACUUGAUAUUUUCAUUCAUUAAUUCAGGAAAAUAAAUGUACAAUGAAAAAUAAGUUUUUAUAACCGAUUAAAUUUGUGUAAUGUGUAGUUUUACUCAUCAAUAUAGUAAAAAAAUAUAAUUUGCAUUCAAAUUGUACUAAAGAAUAUUUUAUACUAGCGUAUUUUAGUAACUUAAGUUAGAAUUAAGUAAACAAACAAAAAAAAUAUAAAUAUAAGGAACAUAUAAGGAAAAAAAAGGAAGGCCUUAAAAUAAUAAAUAUAAGGAAGAAAGAAAACUCCGGAUCCGGAUCUGUUUACUCAUCAUCAAGGAAACUUUAAGAAAUAACAUUACUUCAAAUGUCUGCUCGAAGAAAGAUUCAGAAACUUAAACAAUUGCCAAGCUGGAAAUCGAUUAAUGAGUACACAUAAACGCUACAUAGUAAAACUCGCGUGUCCUGUGAUGGAUACAGUAUAUUAUUAUACAUUAGCAUUCAUUGGUGUAUGAAUCGUCAUCGUCAUUGUGUCAGCAAAGACGCAUCAUCAAUUGCACAGAUUUGUGGCUACAAAUAUAUAAAUGAAAAGUGUUAUUUAGAACAUUAUUUAUUGUGUUGUGCAAUAAAAUAGGUCAAUAAUUACCUGUAUCCGGCAGUGCGAACAAUUUCAUUCAUAAACAUGGGUAAAUAUGACGACUGUCAGAUGGGCUAAGCAUGAAAAAAAGUCCUUAAACAAAAUCCCAUUGUUUCGCUAUUGUGUUUGAAAAUCUAAGCCACAGGAGGAUAUUAAGUACGACCAUGCUUUACCUUUAAUGGCGUAUGUAAAAAAAAUUAAGCCUAUAAUCAACAAUGAAUGUUCUAUACCAUCCUAAGCAAAUUCAAAAACAAAUUUGAUCAUGUUAAUUUCUGGCCUCCCACAAGCGGGUCUCACCAGUAUUGACAGAAGAAUGAUCACUCAUCGAUACAAAACAUACAUAAAGUAAUUAAUACAUGUAUACAGGCUAAAUAAAGUGAAGUUGCUAGAAAAUACCUACUACUUGGAAAAACAAUAAUUGGAGAAGAAACCACUACCUAACAACGUGAAACUUUGAUAUUCAAAAUUUUCAAAUCAUAUAUGGCUAAAGCAAAAAAAAUACUUAAGAAUUGAAAUGUAAAAGAAAACACCUUUAGUUACAAAAAUAGAAAGCGAGUCAUAUUUUAUAUUUUCUGGUAAAAUUGUUUAGUUUUAAAUGUUACCAAAUACACCAAAUGUUAUUAGAAAUGAAAGUAACUGCAAAUAGUUUAAUUCAUAUGUGUACAGUCAGUCAUAACCAACAUAAUACCUACGUAAUAUUUUAAGAUAAUCGUUUGUUUUUCUACAUUCGUUGUCUAUGUAUAUUCGUUGUUGGUAUUUACUAUUAUGAGGCAAAUAACAAAUAACUAUGCUUGUUAUUAAUUUGCAUAUACCUACAGAAAAUCCAACUUACCAUGAAUAUAAAAUAAUAUAGUAAGUGCAGAACAAAAACUUAGGGUUUUACAUGGUUUUAUGUUUUCCAGUGGAUCUGGUUAGAGCUAUGUCACGCUAAAUUGUGUUCUUUGCUUUCUUCUUACAAUACUUUUCAAAAGAACACUGUUUCGCAUGAGACGGUUCCUCAAAAAACAUAAUAUCGUGUAUGAGCUAAACUAAAACUUAGGGUUUUACAUGGUUUUAUGUUUUCCAGUGGAUCUGGUUAGAGCCAUGUCACGCUAAAUGGUGUUUAUUGCAUUUCUUCGUACAAUACUUUUCAAUAGAUCACUGUUUCGCAUGAGACGGUUCCUCAAAAAACAUAAUAUCGUGUAUGAGCUAAACAAAAACUUAGGGAUUACAUGGUUUUAUGUUUUCCAGUUGAACUGGUUAGAGCCAUGUCACGCUAAAUAGAAUUCUUGUCAUUUCUUCUUACAAUACUUUUCAAUAAAACACUGUUUCGCAUGAGACGGUUCCUCAAAAAACAUAAUAUCGUGUAUGAGCUAAACAAAAACUUAGGGUUUUACAUGGUUUUAUGUUUUCCAGUGGAUCUGGUUAGAGCUAUGUCACGCUAAAUGGUGUUCUUUGCAUUUCUUCUUACAAUACUUUUCAAUAAAACACUGUUUCGCAUGAGACGGUUCCUCAAAAAACAUAAUAUCGUGUAUAAGCUAAACUAAAACUUAGGGUUUUACAUGGUUUUAUGUUUUCCAGUGUAUCUGGUUAGAGCUAUGUCACGCUAAAUUGUGUUCUUUGCAUUUCUUCUUACAAUACUUUUCAAUAGAACACUGUUUCGCAUGAGACGGUUCCUCAAAAAACAUAAUAUCGUGUAUAAGCUAAACUAAAACUUAGGUUUUAUAUGGUUUUAUGUUUUCCAGUGGAUCUGGUUAGAGCCAUGUCACGCUAAAUGGUGUUUAUUGCAUUUCUUCGUACAAUACUUUUCAAUAGAUCACUGUUUCGCAUGAGACGGUUCCUCAAAAAACAUAAUAUCGUGUAUGAGCUAAACAAAAACUUAGGGAUUACAUGGUUUUAUGUUUUCCAGUUGAACUGGUUAGGGCCAUGUCACGCUAAAUAGAAUUCUUGUCAUUUCUUCUUACAAUACUUUUCAAUAAAACACUGUUUCGCAUGAGACGGUUCCUCAAAAAACAUAAUAUCGUGUAUGAGCUAAACAAAAACUUAGGGUUUUACAUGGUUUUAUGUUUUCCAGUGGAUCUGGUUAGAGCUAUGUCACGCUAAAUGGUGUUCUUUGCAUUUCUUCUUACAAUACUUUUCAAUAAAACACUGUUUCGCAUGAGACGGUUCCUCAAAAAACAUAAUAUCGUGUAUGAGGUAAACAAAAACUUAGGUUUUAUAUGGUUUUAUGUUUUCCAGUGGAUCUGGUUAGAGCCAUGUCACGCUAAAUGGUGUUUUUUGCAUUUCUUCUUACAAUACUUUUCAAUAGAACACUGUUUCGCAUGAGACGGUUCCUCAAAAAAACAUAAUAUCGUGUAUGAGCUAAACUAAAACUUAGGUUUUAUAUGGUUUUAUGUUUUCCAGUGGAUCUGGUUAGAGCCAUGUCACGCUAAAUGGUGUUUUUUGCAUUUCUUCUUACAAUACUUUUCAAUAGAACACUGUUUCGCAUGAGACGGUUCCUCAAAAAACAUAAUAUCGUGUAUGAGCUAAACAAAAACUUAGGGUUUUACAUGGUUUUAUGUUUUCCAGUGGAUCUGGUUAGAGCCAUGUCACGCUAAAUGGUGUUCUUUGCAUUUCUUCUUACAAUACUUUUCAAUAAAACACUGUUUCGCAUGAGACGGUUCCUCAAAAAACAUAAUAUCGUGUAUGAGCUAAACAAAAACUUAGGGUUUUACAUGGUUUUAUGUUUUCCAGUGGAUCUGGUUAGAGCUAUGUCACGCUAAAUGGUGUUCUUUGCAUUUCUUCUUACAAUACUUUUCAGUAGAACACUGUUUCGCAUGAGACGGUUCCUCAAAAAACAUAAUAUCGUGUAUGAGGUAAACAAAAACUUAGGUUUUAUAUGGUUUUAUGUUUUCCAGUGGAUCUGGUUAGAGCCAUGUCACGCUAAAUGGUGUUUUUUGCAUUUCUUCUUACAAUACUUUUCAAUAGAACACUGUUUCGCAUGAGACGGUUCCUCAAAAAACAUAAUAUCGUGUAUGAGCUAAACUAAAACUUAGGUUUUAUACGGUUUUAUGUUUUCCAGUGGAUCUGGUUAGAGCCAUGUCACACUAAAUGGUGUUUAUUGCAUUUCUUCGUACAAUACUUUUCAAUAUAUCACUGUUUCGCAUGAGACGGUUCCUCAAAAAACAAAAUAUCGUGUAUGAGCUAAACAAAAACUUAGGUUUUAUAUGGUUUUAUGUUUUCCAGUGGAUCUGGUUAGAGCUAUGUCACGCUAAAUGGUGUUUUUUGCAUUUCUUCUUACAAUACUUUUCAAUAGAACACUGUUUCGCAUGAGACGGUUCCUCAAAAAACAUAAUAUCGUGUAUGAGCUAAACAAAAACUUAGGUUUUAUAUGGUUUUAUGUUUUCCAGUGGAUCUGGUUAGAGCCAUGUCACGCUAAAUAGCAUUCUUGUCAUUUCUUCUUUCCAUCCUUUAUAUUAUAUUAAAUAAUAUUUCAUACGGUAUUAUUUCGUUCUUUAAUUUAAUGUGUUUUUAGUGCUUCUGAAUGUGAUUUUGUUUUAAAUACUUAGCUUAUUAGCAUUCAUCAGUAUCCAAGAAUUCAUCAUAUUACUGCUAAUCAAUAAACAAACAACGGUUUUAGCGUUUAAAUACCGAAAAAACAACCUGCCUGUUCAUUUAUUACUUGUUUUAUUAAACAGGAAUUUGCAUAUCGAUCGUUUUCAAUUAACUUCGAACAGUUACAACUACACGUAAACUGAGCAUGUAGUCUAUCUACAGCAAGAUCGUGACCGCUGACUGCAGCUCUCCUUCUCCCUCCAUUUCACUCCCAAUCGACAUUUUCACCUUUGCUGAUAUGAUUACUCCACAGGAUACCUCCAUCCCCUGCAUACCUGGUCGCUAGAUUCGGCUGGCACGUCAUAUCGGUUUGACAGCCAACUCACGUAACUAUUGUUGAUUGAUCCACAGUCCACUGAAGUGCCUACGAUGAAGGGAACAACAUGGACAGUUCUACUCCGAAUUACUCCAACCCAUGCGAUGUUCAUCCAUGCGACAACCCACCUGAUCUGAGUGGAACUUAACUGAAGCAAGAGAGUGAUGCCUAAUUCCAUCUGCCAACUAGCUCCACUUCUCUCCCGUGCACCAGUCGCACCCACACCGACGUGUUCAUCUUGCCAGUUUUCCUCACACCCGUCCACUUGUCUCUUGAAGAUUGGCGUCCACAACACCAACGGUUGGUUAGGUCAUGCAAGCAUUGUUACAAUUGAUAAAAACACAUAUUUUCAUUUAGUGAAUGUGAUAACCUGUACUAAUAAUUUGGUCAACUUAGCGAUGAUAACUCAAUGUAAGUAUUAACAAACUCGGUACGUGUUUGUUAUUGUCAAUAGUAUCUUUAAAUUGUACAACUCGCUUAUGUUUGACAAUUACUGAGUAAUUGCUUUGCUUAUUGCAUGCUAAUUGCUGAAAAUUGCUUUUUAUUUUAAAUUCCUUAGCUAAAAAUUGCUUUUUCUUUCACAUUUCUCUGCUUAUUGAAUGACUAUUGCUAACUCAUUAGAUAGAACCUACUUCUCAUAUAAGUAGGUGGAUGCGGCCUCGAUUAGCGGGGGAACCACAUGAAAAAAAGCGAGCUACUGGGUGUACCUCCUGGGUAGUUUGGAAAUCACCUAAAAUAUAUAUGUAUAUAUUUAUAAAUAAAAGUUAAUAUAUAUAAAUUAACAUUGUUAUUUUUUAACAGGAAAUGCACAAUGCUAAAAACUGCGUAGGAGAUUUUAAUACAAUAGUACUACCAAGCCUGAUGUUGGCCGCUAUUUCAAUGAAUGCAGCAGUGUGACAGCUAGCAAUCAAAAGUAACAAGAUAUCGAGGAAAUGCAGAUGGCAAUAAACUGUGUAGGAGUUCAUGAUUGCAAUAGAAUAAAAUCGACCAAGCUUGAAGUCAGCAGCCCCUUCAAUGAAUGCAGCAGUGUGACAGCCAGCAAUCAAAAGUUACAAGAUAUCGAGGAAAUGCAGAAGGCAAAAAACUGCGUAGGAGAUCAUUAAUACAAAAGUAUUAUAUAAACCAAACCUGAUGUUGCCAGCUCCUUCAAUGAAUGCAGCAGUGUGACAGCCAACAAUCAAAAGUAACAAGAUAUCGAGGAAAUGCAGAAGGCAAAAAACUGCGUAGGAGAUCAUUAAACAAUAGUAUUAUAUAAACCAAACCUGAUGUUGGCCGCUCAUUCAAAGAAUGCAGCAGUGUGACAGCCAGCAAUCAAAAGUAACAAGAUGUCGAGGAAAUGCAGAGUAUAAUAAACUGUGUAGGAGAUUAUGAUUGCAAUAGAAUAAAAUCGACCAAGCCUGAAGUCCUUCAAUGCACGCAGCAGUGUGACAGCCAGCAAUCAAAAGUUACAAGAUAUCGAGGAAAUACAGAAGGCAAAGAAGCAGAUGUCAUCAAAGAAGAUCUUUGUUCCUGCAAUGUUUCCGCAGACGAUACAACCAACAGAGCGAAGUGGAAGGAAAAGACUCGGAAUAAAGACCCCACCACCAUAUGGGAACAAUGCAAGGGAGAGAGAGAGAAUAUAAUGUUAUAUUUUUAUUUUUUGAUAACAUAAAAUAAA